CUCAAAGGAAUUGACGGGGGCCGCACAAGCGGUGGAUUAUGUGGAUAAUUCGAUGCAACGCGAAAAACUUUACCUGCCCUUGACAUGUAGCGAACUUUCCAGAGAUGGAUUGGUGCCCGAAAGGGAACGCUAACACAGGUGCUGCAUGGCUGUCGUCAGCUCGUGUCGUGAGAUGUUGGGUUAAGUCCCGCAACGAGCGCAACCCUUGCCAUUAAUUGCCAUCAUUUAGUUGGGCACUUUAAUGGGACUGCCGGUGACAAACCGGAGGAAGGUGGGGAUGACGUCAAGUCCUCAUGGCCCUUAUGGCCAGGGCUUCACACGUAAUACAAUGGUCGGUACAGAGGGUUGCCAACCCGCGAGGGGGAGCCAAUCCCAGAAAGCCGAUCGUAGUCCGGAUUGUAGUCUGCAACUCGACUACAUGAAGUCGGAAUCGCUAGUAAUCGCGGAUCAGCAUGUCGCGGUGAAUACGUUCCCGGGCCUUGUACACACCGCCCGUCACACCAUGGGAGUGGGUUUUACCAGAAGUAGGUAGUCUAACCUUCGGGGGGACGCUUACCACGGUAGUAUUCAUGAGCUGGGGUGAAGUCGUAACAAGGUAGCCGUA
rnacentral:rRNA from 1 species